rnacentral:rRNA from 1 species
ACGGGAGGCAGCAGUGAGGAAUAUUGGUCAAUGGGCGGAAGCCUGAACCAGCCAAGUCGCGUGAGGGAUGAAGGUAUUAUGUAUUGUAAACUUCUUUAGCUGUGGAGCAAUAAUCUCCAUGUAUGGAGAGAUGAGAGUACACAGAGAAUAAGGAUCGGCUAACUCCGUGCCAGCAGCCGCGGUAAUACGGAGGAUCCGAGUGUUAUCCGGAUUUAUUGGGUUUAAAGGGUGCGCAGGCGGCUUUCUAAGUCAGUGGUCAAAUCGUGGUGCUCAACGCCAUCCCGCCAUUGAUACUGGAGAGCUUGAUUGCGGUCGAGGUUUGCGGAAUUCGUCGUGUAGCGGUGGAAUGCAUAGAUAUGACGAAGAACACCGAUUGCGUAGGCAGCAGACCAGGCCGUAAAUGACGCUCAUGCACGAAAGUGCGGGGAUCGAACAGGAUUAGAUACCCUGGUA